GUUGAAAGUAGAAUUCUCUCUCUUUACCUUUAUUGACAUAAAUUAACACUAAUUCAAGUUCCAAGCAAAAGGAGAAUAACACUCUGUUUCAAAGCCUGAGAUUGCCAUUACACCAUAGAACAUCAACAACGCACACCACUAGGUCUCUUCAAAGGAGACAGGGUGAGGUUACAAAUACUAAUUGCACACAAGAUUUACACCUAUUGGCUAUUGCCAUCACAAGGAACCUGGUUGCUCUCUUUACGUGUAAAAAUUUUAAAUUAAUUAAAAAAAAGAAAAAUAAAAUUACAUUUAAUAAAGAAAGAAUAACUAAAUUUGUAAUGCCGGGGGGUUCUCAGCUGCUAUCUUGUGUUACAAUGGGGGAGGAAGAGGCCUUGUCAGCCUCGCGGCCGGAAUAAUGUGAUCUGAUACACGACUGCAUCGUUUCUAGCAUCAACUCCACCUCUUUCUUGUAUUCAUUGAUUGCUCCUGCCUUAAUUUUGGAUUGCAUCACACACCAUUUCUUGAAGUGUGCACCCACUCUAAUAUCUAUUGUAGAGGAGUUUUCACCAUUGGUCUCCACUAUCCACCGACAGUGAACCUCAAAAUAAGAUCCAAAGGGAACAUCAUGAGCCUGUUGUACUGUUUCAAACACAAGCAUUUUCUUAUCUGGGGAUAAAACAGAAUGCUGAUAUUCUGUCAUGGCUGUGUCUGGGGGACACAUGGGACUAUUGCAUAGAGAUCUGAAUGUUAUCUCCCUCACUUGACCAUCAUAUUCAUCUGCAGCAUGCCACUGUCCUAUAAUAAGAUUUGUAUCCUUUCUAGUUGAACGAUACUCAUUUGUAAACUUAGAGUCAUCGUUUAACAAUAUAUUAAAAAACAGCUCAGCUGUGCAAGGAAAUACAUCAUUAUAUAUACCAACAAGAAUCUCUUCUUUGAUAAAAACUUGAUGCUUUUCCACUUUGGGUACAAUAUCUUCAGGAAUCUUGAUACUACCUCUAACAGAGCUACUAUGAGCACGCAGUGCUGAUUCUGCUCUCUCCUUCUUUUCAGCUUCUAACAUAUCAUGGUAGUUCUUUGCUGCACGUUGCAGUGCUCUUAAUGCAUGAUUCCUGUUCCAAAAGGAUGCAAAUUUAUACCUGACUCUACCAUCAGGACUUCCUAAUGGAGGCACACCAUGCCCACCCGCACCCAUCCGCAGAACAAUAGUUAUGGCCGGAUUAAUGAAUGCAUGCUGACUUCUACGUAUCUCAUCUAUAUCUCCCAAAGGUACAAUCACCUUCAUUUGCUUGGAGAAAACAUUAGAAUGGAAGCAUAUGUGCCACGCAGAUACAUACAUGCGCCCAUGAUACAAGAAUGACCUCUCAAGUGCACAUGAGUAACUGUGUUCACCAAUCUCAUCUGCAUGUAGGUUAAAUAUUGUUUGCAGAGGCCCAGGUUUCUGAUGAACCAUUGUAGGCCCUUGUUUAUCUAAAGAAAUCCUUCUUCGAGCAUUUCCAUUCAUAACCCUGGAAGAAUUUACCGGUAGCUUUAUUGUUUUAAUAUGGAGACAAACCUGCCCAGAGGGGCUAUCUAAUGUGUACCAUACUGCACCAGUUUGACCUUCAUUUUCAACGGAAACAGUUACAGAGCCCAAAACAGUGCUUUUCCAAAUUAUAUCCCAAUCAUAUAUUGUUACAUUAAUCUGGACAGGAAGCUCAUCAACAGAAAAAUUGAACUCCUCUCCCCACAUUGGAUUUCUUGAACCUGGUACCAUGGAGCUGAACCGCUUUUCUGAACCACAUGUAAUGAUUACAUAUGGAUCUGAAGUUCCAUUUAAAUUUGCACCAAUCAGAUUCUUAGCUGCCAACAAUUCCAACUUGAUUAUAUAUGCAGAAUUGGCCUGAGGAUCUCCUUUCAACUGACCCAUCUUGUCUCUAUCCUCAAUUCCAUCCCCAGAAUUACUGGAAUUGUCCAAAAUCUGCGAUCGAACACCAGCAUCAGCAUCUCCACCUCCUCCACUCCAAACAAAGAACCAAUACGAAGCGAAGACAAAUAUCGCUGCAACCACAGUGACCUUGAUCUCCAACCAAGACGGGAGCAAGAAAUCCAGUGAGGUGUCGAUCAUCACCAUACUCAGUCGUUUCAAUUGCUACUCUCUCUUCCUUCUCUUCCCUUGCGAUACAAUCGAUCAACGAGCAAGAGGUUUUAGGGUUUUGAUAGUGAAAGGUAGCAUUGACAAGUGAACGAGUGCGACCAUUUCCAUAGAGACACAGAGAGAGUCAAGGUUUGGACCGUUGGGAAAGGGUUGAACAUGAAAGAAGUAAAAAAAUUAUGGAGGCCGGAG
rnacentral:misc_RNA from 1 species